UUUAGAAUAAUUGGUCCGUUUUCCAAUUCAGUGGCGUUUUCAAAAGCCUUCAAAUGCCCAUCUGGCAGCAGAAUGAAUCCUGUAAAGAAAUGUCGUGUUUGGUAGAAGAGGAUUUUAAAUGAAGAAUAAAUUAUUUUUAUGCUUUCCCCCUCGAAUAAUUUACUACUUGAGAAAAAAAUAUAUAACAAUUGCAUUUCCCCAGUUUUGUCAAAUGACUUAAUUUUUUCGUCCCAUCUUACUCAGUAGAGAGGUUCAGAUUUGACUUCCACUACCUCUACCAUAUUGUGGACCAUUAACCAAUCAGAUGCAUUGAAUAUAUCCGAUUAACCAAUCAGAUUCGUAAUAAGCCAGUGGGAGGUAUUAGUAGUCGAAGUCAAGUUCAGUACCUCGCUUUUACAAAGUCCACAAAGCCCGCAAUCUCGUUCCCAGAGUAUGCCUGUUCACGGGUUAUGUAGUGGCAUGACACUACAUAACCCGCGAACAGGCAUACUCUGGGAACGAGAUUGCAAAGCCCGAGGAAAACUUAUUAGCCUCCAACCUCGUACCCAGGCUCUUAUAAGACCCGGGGUACGAGGUUGAUUAGCCUCAGGGGGACAAGGGCGUGUUACUGCGUUUGCUUUUCAAAUUUUAUUUCCCAAAUUACUUUUCAAAUUUUUCAUUUAUGAAAAAAUUGGAAAUUUUACACAUAAUAAGGAAACAAGAUUGCGUAAUCCCGCCUGUCAUUUCAUUCUAGGCUAGCUCUUUAUAGCUUGGUGGCUCGCGCAGAAAUACUCGAAGCCGUUUAUAGAAGUAACUCAAUUAAAACACUUCGGAUUUAAACUGAAAUAAAAGCCUCUCCCGUCUAUAGAUAUUUACUUCUGCAGCCAUUCAAUGCAUUUGGAAAAAUAAAUGGGUGGGAGGGUGUGUCUAGAUCCAAUUUUCAACUAUAAACGUCUGUGUGUUGACUUUUAAAACAUAAUUUCCUGC